rnacentral:rRNA from 1 species
UACGUAGGGUGCAAGCGUUGUCCGGAAUUAUUGGGCGUAAAGAGCUCGUAGGCGGUCUGUCGCGUCGGCUGUGAAAACCCGGAGCUCAACUCCGGGCCUGCAGUCGAUACGGGCAAACUGGAGUACUGCAGGGGAGACUGGAAUUCCUGGUGUAGCGGUGAAAUGCGCAGAUAUCAGGAGGGAACACCGGUGGGCGAAGGCGGGUCUCUGGGCCGAUAUUGACGC